rnacentral:ncRNA from 1 species
GCCUUCAGAUAGGAGCCCUGACUGAGAAAAAAAUCAAUCAGGUGGAUGGUGCUAUAUGCGGGGACGCCCUUAAGAGCCUUUGGUACCGAAAGGUAACAAUCCAAAGGAUUGGGUAAUCCGCAGGUAACCUCGUUUUAAUGAGGACACCUCAGAGGCCAUACGCACCACGCCUGAAAUGGCGAAGAUAUGGUCCAGCCUACAAACCGCGAA